rnacentral:tRNA from 1 species
GUCCAGAUGAGCGCCAGUGAUUUGGUGUGGGUGCUUCAAACCCUUAACGGCUGAGGGUCAGAGUGGUUCGAAUCCACCUUCUGGGUG